rnacentral:rRNA from 1 species
GAUGAACGCUGGCGGCGUGCUUAACACAUGCAAGUCGAACGGAAAGGCCAGUGCUUGCACUGGUACUCGAGUGGCGAACGGGUGAGUAACACGUGGGUGAUCUGCCCUGCACUUCGGGAUAAGCCUGGGAAACUGGGUCUAAUACCGGAUAGGACAAUGGUUUGGAUGCCGUUGUGGAAAGUUUUUUCGGUGUGGGAUGAGCUCGCGGCCUAUCAGCUUGUUGGUGGGGUAAUGGCCUACCAAGGCGUCGACGGGUAGCCGGCCUGAGAGGGUGUACGGCCACAUUGGGACUGAGAUACGGCCCAGACUCCUAAGGGAGGCAGCAGUGGGGAAUAUUGCACAAUGGGCGCAAGCCUGAUGCAGCGACGCCGCGUGGGGGAUGACGGCCUUCGGGUUGUAAACUCCUUUCGCUAGGGACGAAGCGUAUUUGUGACGGUACCUGGAGAAGAAGCACCGGCUAACUACGUG